UACGUAGGGUGCAAGCGUUGUCCGGAAUCAUUGGGCGUAAAGAGCGCGUAGGCGGCCCGAUAAGUCCGCUGUGAAAGUCGGGGGCUCAACCCUCGGAUGCCGGUGGAUACUGUCGGGCUCGAGUACGGAAGAGGCGAGUGGAAUUCCUGGUGUAGCGGUGAAAUGCGCAGAUAUCAGGAGGAACACCAAUUGCGAAGGCAGCUCGCUGGGACGUUACUGACGCUGAGACGCGAAAGCGUGGGGAGCAAACAGG
rnacentral:rRNA from 1 species